AGGGUGGGCCUCGCAGUCGGUUCGCCCUGCCAGCCAGGCAGGUGCGUCGCAAGAGGGAACCCGGUGGGAAUCCGGGACUGCCCCGCAGCGGUGAGUGGGAACGACCGCCGUCACAUGCACUGGACCCGACCAGGGUCCGGGAAGCGACGGCCAGUAGGUGCCGGACAGCCAUCGGGUGUCCGACGUGCCCAUGAGUCCGAAGACCUGCCGCUGCCCGCGUGCACCC
rnacentral:ncRNA from 1 species